UACGGAGGGGGCUAGCGUUGUUCGGAAUUACUGGGCGUAAAGCGCACGUAGGCGGCUUUGUAAGUUAGAGGUGAAAGCCCGGGGCUCAACUCCGGAAUUGCCUUUAAGACUGCAUCGCUAGAAUUGUGGAGAGGUGAGUGGAAUUCCUGGUGUAGCGGUGAAAUGCGUAGAUAUCAGGAGGAACACCUGUGGCGAAGGCGAGUCUCUGGACAUUUCCUGACGCUGAGGCACGAAAGCCAGGGGAGCAAACGGG
rnacentral:rRNA from 1 species